CAUUGCUUCACUGCUAAUGAGCUUUCGUCAUUAUACCCCAGAAGUAAAGCUGACCUUUGCAUGAGCCUCUGCUGGGAUACAAGGGAAUCAUUUCAGCACCCCAUUAAUCCAAAGCCAGAGAUCUCUCCCCAAUUAUUUGGAAAUCACUUAGUUCUUUCCUUGUGUGGAAGUGAAUGUUUAUCUCCUACAGUAAAUUUAUGUACACAAGGUAUGAUCAUGGAGAAUUUGUUUUUGAAUACAGAAGAAACAUCUUCACAGUUUCUGGAGGGUGCACACCUGUGGAGUAGACAAUAAGUAAAUUUCUAGACAGUUAUUUCAGCAAACCUACUGAGAGAGCUCAUGCACCUCCACCUCCCAUCAUCUAAACAGCAUGCCUCUGCUGGCCUAGACUCAAAAUAGCUGUAAGUAAAUUGUAUGCCACUCUU